AUGUAAUGAAUCUGCCAUAAAGACACAAAAGGAUGGGGUUUGGGGAUCCUCCGGGUUGGAGAGCACAUGGAGGUGCUGGGAGAGCGGCAUGUCCGGAGAGGGCGUGGAAGCUCUGAGCCUUUUCCCUAAAACUUGUCCUACACAUCUCUUCUGGCUGUUCAUGAGUUAUAUAAUCAAAAAAAACCGUGGGAACAGAUGGCCUUUCUUCUUCCUCUGGAUGCUCUUGACUCUGAAUGUUGUACCAGAACUGCCGCUACAGCCAUUUGUGACUGCCUGGGGGUGAAGCCAACACGGAAGAGGGCAGAGAGAGGAGAUGGAAAGAACCUGGGUUCUUGAUGACAUCACUGAGAGGCUGAAUCAACCUCCCCUGGGCGUGACCUCUCUGUGGCCUUCCUGUUAUGUGAGAUAAUGAACUCCUUUAUUGUUUGAGUGGGACUUUCCGUUACUUGCAGCCAAAGCUCUCUAACCAAUACACGCUCACUGAAUCAGAAUCUCCUGUCGCGAAACUGUCCCAGGUGAAUGAGGAUCCCAGACGAGGGUGGAACUUUAUGACGUCAACAUCCGCUUCCGAGGGCUGAAGAUCUGCCUUCCCGACCAAUGCGCAUUACCUUUAAGCAGGACUCAAGGUUCUGCCCUGUUAAAUAGGAGAAUGGUCCAAGAUGAGCGACAGCAAAUAGACUUCAACUCAAGUUCUCCGCGGAUGGCCACCUGGAGCUCUAUGUUGAGAAGAAUUCUGAGGCUGAACACCAUGAUCAAUUAAUGAUGUCUGUCAUGGCUUCAGGAUGGAGAGAAGCUAUGCAGUUGAGUUGAGAUCUCUGGAAUAGAGCCCUGGAGCAGCUGGAGAAUGCCGAGGAAAGUCUUAUGGAGAAGGAACUCUGGUCCACACUUCCCAAAUUUGGACUGGAGAGAGGAAUCCAGAGGAUAUAUUCAGCUGGUCCUGGGACAGAAAAUACCCAGCACUUGUGCUGACCCUUCCCUGUCCUGUGCUCAUGGCAGACAUUGCUAAUCAAUCACAGUGAACUGUCCUGGAGGCCGGGAUGUGGCUUCACAGCCCUUUUCGACACUGCAUUCUAGGCAGCCACUACCAAUCGAAUGGGCUUGGUAUGAGAGAACUGUAUCGGGUCUCGCUGAUGGCCGUCCCAAGACCUCACCCAUCUCCUCUUCCCAACUUCCACCAUGUGGGAGGGAAGGAGUAUAGCACGUUCGUUGUGGUUCUGGCGUCAGACCACUGGGGUUUGAAUCCCAGUUCCACCCCCGAGUCUGUGUGGUCUUUGUCUUGUUGCUUAUCCACACCAAGCCUCAACUUCCCCUCCUGUGAAAUGCAGGCAACGCCAGCCUUUACCUCAUAGGAAAUAUUGUGAUUACGGUGGUGUGUACGUGUGUGUGUGUAUAAAUACAGUGUAUCUACCAUGAUAUCUGGCUAGAUGCCCCACAAAUGAGAUUCCUUUCUUUUCCCUAUAAGGAGUCCCACAGACGGGUUUGGGGUUGAGUUUGGCCUCGCUGGAAGGUAGAAGCGUGAGAGGUGGACGAGGAUUGGAGGGAGAUGGGGCAGUCAGGGACUAGAUCACGCCGGGCUUGAAGUCAGGGUAGAGAUUUCUGUCUUUUUCUUAAGAUCGAAUGGAGCAGGAGAUGGGCAAGUAUGACUCCUCAGAGUUUGUCAUUCUCCCUCCCACCAUAGGGCUUUUGUACAAGUGUGUCUCCUUUGCUGGAAUGCUCUACUUUUGUCUCCUGUCUCAAACCCAUCCUGCAUCUAGUUAACUCCCAAGGGUCUUCCAGAUGGCUGUCAACCAUCGCCUCCUCAGGGAAGCCUUCCCUGAUCUCCCACCCCCUUCUAUUAUAUGCUCCCAGAGGUUCACAUCCUCAACCUUCAUGCGCCCUACCCUUGCAGUUUCACAUUUGAUUGCUUGGUUCUAUGACAAAACCAAUCUCCUCCACUGGACUGUAAGCUCGCUGAGGCCAGGGCUUUGCUUUGCUCACCAUUUUCUCCCUAGAGCCAGCACCUUGCCUGAUACACAGCAGAUGCCGAACUCGUUAUUUACUGAAUAAAGGAAGGAAAAUAGAUUGGCAUCGUGUUCUAGAAAUGUUGCUCUGGUCACAUGGUAGAGAGGACACUGGGCUACAGCAGAGGCAGGGAGACCAGCGAGGAGGUCAUGAAAUGAAAAGUCAAAGUAGCUUGAACUAAGGUGGUGACAACACGGAUAAAGGGAAGUAGAUGAUGUCAAGAGCUAAGAAGGAAGCUUUGUCAAUAAACUACUGGCAGGCAUUUUUCUUCAUUCUUCUUUUCUUUUUUGGAUUAUACAACUGCCUUUCGGCUUAAUAGAAAUUCCCAAGGGAUACGAAGAAGAAAGAAAGUAAAAUAUAAAGCUAUUUUGCAAACUUGGAUGGGGGAAGGCUUGUCAUCCCCAGGCUAAUCAGAAGUGGGCAGAGCCCAUCUGGCAAACCCUGUCCCUCUGGUCCCCCAGCAAAGGUUGUUAACCAGCCUUUGAAAUCGGCACCUUGUUCUGCCAGCUCGCAGCUCCAAAUGCCCAGUAGGAGUGUCUUGUGAGCUCGGUGAAUAACUGCCGAGGGGAGAAGAACAGGCCUAUUGAAGACGUCAAAGCCAAAAUUCACGUUUGAACUGUGAUGGGCCCUGCCGAGCAUUUUAUGAAUAUGCAGAAUCAAACAGGAGCCAGUAGAAGCCAGAGGGAGCGGGCAGAAAGAAGCUCUCUUUAACAUCCCAGCCAGUGGAGGCACACGUUUCAACUCAUUAAAACACACAACAGGCUGUUAGAGACGUUUUCAAAAGGAGCUUUCUAUUCAGUAAUAUCCUAGGGGACUUUAGUUUUUUUUUCUCUUUGGAGAAAGUUUUCCAGGGGCAACACCAAAGGUUCUAAGGCAGGCCGUUGUCUCAAAGGGCUGGACGGAAGUGGAGGGCAGCUUUCCUGCUGGUGACAAGGUGACAAAUCCGAUCCCAGAUCUGGGCUUUCAAAAGACACUUUCCUCCCUUUCCAGCAAAUCUGUCUAAUCUCCCAGAUUCAUUUACACUCUUCCGUUUGAUGGUCUUCACUUGACAGCGUGGCCCAUAUGCUUGGUGCUUUUGAUGGAAAUGGUUCUGCUUGAGUUCCCUUAUUUAGUUUUAAUUUCCUAAUUUUAGGUUCGGCUCUGGGUUUUUUAGCCGCUUGCGAAAGCGAGCGAAUGGCUCCCUCUCCUUCUGCAUGCCUCAGUGGAAUACUCCGUCCUCCUCCCCCGAGCCUGAAGUUCCUGCAUCAGGUCACCUUGAAGAUUUCUUGGCAAAACACUGGUGCUGAGCAGACCCUUUUUGCCAGUUACUUAGGCAGGAGUCCAUCUCCCCAGGGGUGGCAGCAGACGCUGUGAUUUUUCCUUGUUAGGUAUUAAAAUCUUCUCUUCUUCCUUCAUUUCCUUGGGUAUCUGAAUCUUUCUUAGUUGACAUCCAAGUCCACAGGAGGCUUCUAUUUCCAUCCUCCUUCUAAACAAAAACCACUUAUGGAAAAGUAAAAAAAUGUAACUACAUUGGAUAAAUAAAUCCUGCUGCUUUCUCUUGUCCAAAUACCAGCUAAUUAGACCCAAGACUGCCUUUAUCAUCAUCUUCAUGGCUGUCUCCUUUGGCAGUUUGUAAAAAUGGCACUGAUUCUUUACCUCUCCCAGAACCAUGUUAUGUGACUUUGCGGAGCCCUCCUUCUCUGACUCUGGACAGCCAUGUGACUUGAUUUGGCCAAUGGGAUGUUAGCAAGUGUGACACAAGUAGAGGCAUGAAAAUGCUUGAUGGUGGGCCUGUCUGCUCUUGUCCUUUGCCACUGCCAUGAGAAGGACAUUCCAAGGCUAGCCCACUGGUCCCAUGGGAGAGCAUGAGAGACACAUGGAGCAGAACUGAAUCUCCCAAGCCCGCUGGUCCCAGGGGUGAGCAUGAGAGACACAUGGAGCAGAACUGAAUCUCCCAGUCAUUCCAGCUGACGUCUUGUGAUGACCAGAACUGUCCAGCCAACUAGACUCAUGAGCUGAAAUAAUUAUCUAUUGUGUCAAGACAGUGAGUUUUGGGGCAGUUUGUUACACAGUGUUAUUUUAGCAAUAGAUAACUGCUAUAUCCUGAGAACACAACUAUAAAUUAAUGAUGGUUCUGCAUCUUCUUUCCUGUUGCAAGAAAUACAUGUUAAAUAGUUGGAUGUGCUGUGAGUAAGCCAUGGCUGCAUUGACAAGAGUGUAUCAGCUGGGCUGGUUUCUUUAGGAGAGAUGCCUGAGAGCUUUCAACCAAGAAAACUUAGAAAUAUAACCCCUGGAAGCUGAGGAAGGUCUUCCUUAGUUUCAGGGCUUUUUUCUCCUUUAUUCUUUGGGUGGGAGAAGGUCUGAUUGAGUGGGGAUCGAUAUCUCUGAGAGUCGGCACACGGCCAGCCUGUUGCUUGUCUGGCAAUGGAAUCUAACCAGCUCAUUCCAGUUUGCACAACCUGAUGGCUCUUUUCUGUGUCUUUGGAGGCUGCGUUUAGGAAUGAAACUCACUGGUGUUUGAGAUUUACUGCCCAGUCAAGCCUUGUUCCAUCCAAAUUUCUUUUAAUAGUUUAUCUUUUUAGCUACACCUAUUUUUGCAAUAGGAAUGUUAUCUACGUCUCCAUGAAAAAUUCAUCUCCUGAUAGGUGAUUCAUAACCGUGAUUUCGGAGGAUCCUAAAAGGAACUUUUAUUUCAUUUUUUCAAUAAAAAUAAAUUU
ensembl:lncRNA